rnacentral:rRNA from 1 species
UUCCGGUUGAUCCUGCCGGAGGCCAUUGCUAUCGGAAUCCGAUUUAGCCAUGCUAGUCGCACGGGUCAGACCCGUGGCGAACAGCUCAGUAACACGUGGCCAAACUACCCUGUGGACGAGGAUAAUCUCGGGAAACUGAGGUCAAUCCUUGAUAGGGCUUCCAUCCUGGAGUGGAGGAAGUCCAAAAGUUGCGCUGCAGCACCACAGGAUGUGGCUGCGGCCGAUUAGGUAGACGGUGGGGUAACGGCCCACCGUGCCAGUAAUCGGUACGGGUGAUGAGAGUCAGAGCCCGGAGACGGUAUCUGAGACAAGAUACCGGGCCCUACGGGGCGCAGCAGGCGCGAAACCUUUACACUGCACGACAGUGCGAUAGGGGGAUUCCGAGUGCGAGGGCAUACAGUCCUCGCUUUUCUGGACCGUAAGGAGGUCCAAGAAUAAGGGCUGGGCAAGACCGGUGCCAGCCGCCGCGGU